rnacentral:rRNA from 1 species
GUGCAGCAGUCGAGAAUCCUUCGCAAUGCGGGAAACCGCGACGAGGGGACUCCCAGUGCCUACGCUCAGCGUAGGCUGUUCCCGAGCCUAGAAAGCUCGGGGAGUAAGGGCUGGGUAAGACGGGUGCCAGCCGCCGCGGUAAUACCCGCAGCCCGAGUGGUGGCCACUAUUAUUGGGCCUAAAGCGUCCGUAGCCGGCCCGGUAAAUGCCUGGGUAAAUCGUGAGGCCUAACCUCACGAAUUCCGGGUAGACUGCCGGGCUAGGGACCGGAGGAGGGAGAGGGGUACUCCAGGGGUAGGGGUGAAAUCCUGUAAUCCCUGGAGGACCACCGGUGGCGAAGGCGCUCUCCUAGGACGGGUCCGACGGUGAGGGACGAAAGCCAGGGGAGCGAACCGGAUUAGAUACCCCGGUAGU